CACGUAGGGGGGCAAGCGUUGUCCGGAUUUAUUGGGCGUAAAGAGCUCGUAGGCGGCUUAGUAAGUCGGGUGUGAAACCUCCAGGCUCAACCUGGAGACGCCACCCGAUACUGCUGUGGCUAGAGUCCGGUAGGGGAGCGUGGAAUUCCUGGUGUAGCGGUGGAAUGCGCAGAUAUCAGGAGGAACACCGGUGGCGAAGGCGGGUCUCUGGGCAGUAACUGACGCUGAGGAGCGAAAGCGUGGGGAGCGAACAGG
rnacentral:rRNA from 1 species